rnacentral:rRNA from 1 species
CGCUGGCGGCAUGCCUAACACAUGCAAGUCGAACGAAGACCUUCGGGUCUUAGUGGCGCACGGGUGCGUAACGCGUGGGAAUCUGCCCUUGGGUUCGGAAUAACAGUUAGAAAUGACUGCUAAUACCGGAUGAUGUCUUCGGACCAAAGAUUUAUCGCCCAAGGAUGAGCCCGCGUAGGAUUAGGUAGUUGGUGGGGUAAAGGCCUACCAAGCCGACGAUCCUUAGCUGGUCUGAGAGGAUGAUCCCCCACACGGGUACUGAGACACGGACCCGACUCCUACGGGAGGCAGCAGUAAGGAAUAUUAGACAAUGGUCGGAAGACUGAUCCAGCCAUGCCGCGUGAAGGAUGAAGGCGCUCAGCGUUGUAAACUUCUUUUGUACGGGGAACAAAAUGCGACCUGCGGGUUGUACUGAGGGUACCGUAAGAAUAAGCACCGGCUAACUCCGUG